UACGUAGGUGGCAAGCGUUGUCCGGAUUUACUGGGCGUAAAGAGCGCGCAGGCGGUCGUUCAAGUCGCGUGUGAAAGCCCCCGGCUCAACUGGGGAGGGUCACGCGAUACUGAUCGACUCGAAGGCAGGAGAGGGAAGUGGAAUUCCCGGUGUAGUGGUGAAAUGCGUAGAGAUCCGGAGGAACGCCAGAGACGAAGGUGGCUACCUGGCCCUGACCUGACACUGAGGCGCGAAAGCGUGGGGAGCGAACCGG
rnacentral:rRNA from 1 species